rnacentral:rRNA from 1 species
UACGGAGGGUGCGAGCGUUGUCCGGAAUCACUGGGCGUAAAGGGCGCGUAGGCGGCCUGAUAAGUAGGGGGUGAAAUCCUGCGGCUUAACCGCAGGGCUGCCUUCUAAACUGUCAGGCUUGAGCACAGUAGAGGCAGGUGGAAUUCCCGGUGUAGCGGUGGAAUGCGUAGAGAUCGGGAAGAACACCAGUGGCGAAGGCGGCGCUCUGGGCUGCACCUGACGCUGAGAUGCGAAAAGUGUGGGGGAGCAAAACGGGG